rnacentral:rRNA from 1 species
GUGCGUAACGCGUAUGCAAUCUACCUUUUACAGAGGGAUAGCCCAGAGAAAUUUGGAUUAAUACCUCAUAGUAUAUAGACUCGGCAUCGAGAUUAUAUUAAAGUCACAACGGUUAAAGAUGAGCAUGCGUCCCAUUAGCUAGUUGGUAAGGUAACGGCUUACCAAGGCUACGAUGGGUAGGGGUCCUGAGAGGGAGAUCCCCCACACUGGUACUGAGACACGGACCAGACUCCUACGGGAGGCAGCAGUGAGGAAUAUUGGACAAUGGGCGCAAGCCUGAUCCAGCCAUGCCGCGUGCAGGAUGACGGUCCUAUGGAUUGUAAACUGCUUUUGUACAGGAAGAAACACUGGUUCGUGAACCAGCUUGACGGUACUGUAAGAAUAAGGAUCGGCUAACUCCGUGCCAGCAGCCGCGGUAUACGGAGGAUCCAAGCGUUAUCCGGAAUCAUUGGGUUUAAAGGGUCCGUAGGCGGUUUAAUAAGUCAGUGGUGAAAGCCCAUCGCUCAACGGUGGAACGGCCAUUGAUACUGUUAACUUGAAUUAUUAGGAAGUAACUAGAAUAUGUAGUGUAGCGGUGAAUGCUUAGAGAUUACAUGGAAUACCAUUGCGAAGGCAGG